UGCAUUUUCACAAAACAAUUUAGAAACUGCAAAUAUUUUUUUCUGGCCAAGAUUUGUAAAGCUUAGUGCUAGUAGGCAGAUGCAGUAGCCUAUGCAUCGCAUUUUUAUUUUUGUUUUAUUUCACUAGAAUAAUCCAAUAGUUUAUGACUUAUUCCCUUCUAUCCACUGCAAUAUUGCAAUAAAGUACAUUAGAAACUAGGAUAUUGGCAAAAGGCACACAUAAGUUCUGGGGCUAGGCUUGGAGUUGAGGUGGGUACAAAUGAAAGCAAUAAUUCCAUCCUCAAGAGUCCAAGCACGCAGAAAUGUAAUUUAUUUUAACAAAAUUAUAUGGCAAAAGGAAAUAAUGGCACGGUCUCAAAGUUUGAUCAUGCAACAUGAUAAAGUGUAUGAUUAGCAGCAGGUGGUGGGAAUAAAGGCAACAUGCUAUGAGGAUGUUUCAUUGCAAACUAAGGAAAAUAACUUAUGUUUCUUCUUGGUGCAGUAAAGAGAACACCUCAGAUUUGAUUGAAGCUAACCUCAAGAUGAUCAGUAGUUAUAAACAAAUAAAAGAAGGAUUUAGUCGGAGUCAUUUUCAAGACUUUAUCAACUUUAAAAAAUGCAAAGAAGUAAUGCUCAAAUUUCAAUACUGAACUAAUGAAACAAAUACAGUUCACAAAUUGAUGCAUCACAUAGAUUGAACUAUUGAAAGGACUUGAACAAAGAAUGUAACAACUAAGUAAACAUAGUGGAGAAUCACAUAAGAAAUUAAAAACCCAACAUGCGGUACAUAUAUCACAGCCACCAAUCAUAAAAAAAUUUAAAUAUACGGGACUCACCAAGAUGCAAUGCAACAAUCGCAAUUUAAAUUGGUAAAACCAGUACUAGGAGGCUCUAACAUAACAAAACCUGUAAAAUUGAAUACCUAAUCUUUAUAUGAGUUCCAGCAUACAAAUUCCAGUUCUACCAUGACCCAUUUAUAAAUAAAAGUUUCUCAAAUUAUAAAGAAAAGGUUGACAGCAACUAGUACAUAAAAGCUCCAAUUGCAAACAAAGAGAAAGCACCAGAUAAAUAACAAUGUCAUUAAGUGAAAAUGGAAAAAGAAAAACAUAUUUGAGGAUUUGAAAAUAGACGACGCUGCAAAAUUUUGCGGCGUUUAUUUAAAAAACGCCGCUAAAGACCAUGGCCUUUAGCGGCGCUUUUCACGUAAACGCCGCUAAAGACCAUGACCUUUAGCGGCGCUUUUCCCAAAAACGCCGCUAAAAAACAUGACCUUUAGCAGCACUUUUUUUACAAACGCCACUACAGAACAAACCUUUAGCGGCGCUUUUCUCACAAACGCUGCUAAAGAAUAUAACCUUUAAAAAAUAUAUAUUUUUAUUAAAUAAUAUUUAUUUUCUAUAUUAUAUUUUAUUUUUGAAACUUUAAACUAUAUACUUUUAAGGAUAAAUAAAAAUAUUAAUUAAAUUAAAUUUUCUAUUAAAAUUUUAACUUUAAAACUAAAUAUAAAAAUUGAUGAAUUUAAAUUUAGAAUUUAAAUAUUAUGUUUAAAUAAAUGGGCAAUCUACCAGCAACAGAGAGAUAAUACAAUUUAUGAAAAUUUAUGUCGAUGAGAAUUUUUAAAUAAAUUUUAAGCACAUUUACAUUUAUGGAAAGAAAGAAAAACAAAAAGGCCGUAGUUUUCAAUUUUUGUUUGCCUUGCCUAUGAGGAUGACAAUGAAGUUCAGCUUCAUUCACAAUGAUACAACUUUCGUCACCUCUUGUUUUAUCCAAUGGUGGAACUGUUCCACUUUCUUUCCUACCAACAGCACUCCCUGAGCUAUCCAUGGUCCAGUUAUUUGAUUGUCCUGCAAAGUUCACGACACGAAUUAUACCAUACAGCUUAGCAGAAAUAGACAAAGAUAAAAUAAAAAAAAAACUUGCAUAAAUUACUUGUGUAAUAAUUUCCCAAGAAUUUAUAUAUUUAAAGCUGACUCAAUGUAUACAUUUAAAGAUGAUAAUACAAUAGAUGUAAUAAUUGAACAAGAAACUAUCUUACUGUAAUAUUUUUGUUAUUUAUUUUACAUAAUAAAUAUUUAAAACUAUUUAAUAUGAAGCAAUUUUUGCAUUUUCACAAAACAAUUUAGAAACUGGAAAUAUUUUUUUCUGGCCAAGAUUUGUAAAGCUUAGUGCUAGUAGGCAGAUGCAGUAGCCUAUGCAUCGCAUUUUUAUUUUUGUUUUAUUUCACUGGAAUAAUCCAAUAGUUUAUGACUUAUUCCCUUCUAUCCACUGCAAUAUUGCAAUAAAGUACAUUAGAAACUAGGAUAUUGGUAAAAGGCACACAUAAGGUCUGGGGCUAGGCUUGGAGCUGAGGUGGGUACAAAAUGAAAGCAAUAAUUCCAUCCUCAAGAGUCCAAGCACGCAGAAAUGUAAUUUAUUUUAACAAAAUUAUAUGGAAAAAGGAAAUAAUGGCACGGUCUCAAAGUUUGAUCAUGCAACAUGAUAAAGUGUAUGAUUAGCAGCAGGUGGUGGGAAUAAAGGCAACAUGCUAUGGGGAUGUUUCAUUGCAAACUAAGGAAAAUAACUUAUGUUUCUUCUUGGUGCAGUAAAGAGAACACCUCAGAUUUGAUUGAAGCUAACCUCAAGAUGAUCAGUAGUUAUAAACAAAUAAAAGAAGGAUUUAG
rnacentral:lncRNA from 1 species